UUAGAAAGUAACAGCAAGAAGUUCUCAUCUGUACAUUAUGCAGACAAAUGAAGGAUAUCCGUAGCACAGGCGUAGGGUAUACAAAGGACACUUACAUUGGAACUGCCUCAGCUGGAACAACAGUGCACCAGAGGCAUGAAUUUUAACGGAAUGCAGUGUGAUGACAGCCCUGGAGAGAACAUGAAUGGUGGAUUGUGAACAUUGUCCCUCUUUCUUUCCUGUGCGAUUUCAUCUCAGAGCUGAGUUUUGCUUUUGUUCCUUUACUGAAUGCUGGGACAGCUUAUCUUGACAUCCAGCUGCUUCUGCUGCUGAAGGGGAAACCUGCUGUUUUGAACUCCUCUGCUGGAAGCAGCUAAAGGAAGAAGUCAGAUGCUGGGGACAUUGUGUGGCCAAUGAAGGCCAAUUUUAGUCUGCAGGAGACUGAAAGACUGGUACAAAAGGCCACCAAAGACUCUCAGCUACUGUUUUGUCUGCAGCUUCCAAAGGAGAGCCUGCCAAGAAGCUUAAAGUGUGGAAUUGGAUCCUGCAUUUGCCUACGUCAGUGCCCUUAGAGACUGAAAGUGGGAUAUAGGGAUCUCAGGUCCAGGGGACAGUGGAAAAGGAUAGUGAAAAGCAAGUUGGCAGAACAUCCGACAGCUGUUCGAGCAACUGUUUGGGAGUCAAUGCAACCACUUAUGCACUCAGGCUUACUGGUAACUACCAGUCCUUGAACAAGCCAUACAAGGUAAGAGGCAGAGAGAUGAUAUAUUGAAAGAAAAACUCAGUUUAGCAUCAAGGGAAAUUUGCAAUACCAGUGGGCAAUAGGCUGUUCACAAACAACACUAGCAUGUAUUCUAGUGAACCAGACAUUUAACAGUGCAGUUAUUCGUUUGUAAUUAUAGUUACAGACAUCUUGUACGUAUACAUGAUCACAGCUGAAACAACUGCAUACCCAUGGAUUAAUUCAUUGAACAGUGUUAUGACAAGGCAGUUAACAAAUCACUGGAUCCCUUCCCAAGCGAAAAUAUAUUUUAAAAAAACAAACAAAAAAACCUACUUCAAGAUAAAACAAGAAGCAUGUUCCCUGCGUAAUAUUCCAGAGGAAAAGAUGUUCCAUAAUAUUUUUCUUGGAACUAUAGAAUCAACUCCGUGUCCCAACAGUUCAAAGGAUUAAAAAGAAAAAUUGGAGCCUUGGUUUUUUGGCAUCGGAACUUCAGAUUUUAUUUCGCAGUCAUCCUUAAGGCAGAAGCAGGGCAAAACAAAUGGGCCCCCCUACCAUGAAAAUAGUAUGGGGGGACUCCCCAUGACAACCAGGCCAGUUAAUGGAAUAGAACUGUUACAGGAAUGUAUUUCUUCUUGGAAAUGGGGCUACAUAUAGGCUACUACAUGCAGAACUAAAAGGAAGCCUUCUAAAGCAAUGACUUGUGAAAGGAACAAACUAUAAUAAAAAUAAGACUCUUAACCUUGUGACAGGAACACUGAACUUCGUUGAGUCAUUUAGGCUCCAGAUGUGAGCUAUCUAAUAAUAAUAAUUUGGUAGACAACAUCUGCCAGACUGUAAAUCUCUGUUUAGUUUUUUUGUGGGGGAGGGUUAACCCACAAUUACUAUUGAUUUCACUGCCAUCUGUCUGUGAGUGCAAGGGGAUGCCUGGUGGUGUCCGAGGUGAGAGAGAAGAAUUAGUGAGAAAAAAGCUACUCUCACUUAUCCCAGAAGACUGACCCAGUGCUUAGCUGAGGGCUGGAGGGAUUCAAAAGUGAGCUUUCACCCCAGAUUUGCACUCCAGAUAGCACUGUGUGUUCCUGCACUGUACCAAAGGAUCAGGCUCUAUGUUGCUGCAUCGGCUUUUAGCAUUGUCAGCUGAUGUUUACCAGUAACUCUGAGGAGGCCCCUUUUCCAGAUGCAAUGACUAGUCUUGAUGAUCAUUCAUGAGUUCCCAUCGGUGCAGAACGAAAGUCGAUGUAUUCUUGUAUCUAGUGUAAACAAAAAUAUCUUGAAAUUUGGCUUAUUUGAAUAGUGUAAUAAUUGGAUGUGGAAAUCUAUGUGGAUACUAAAUAUAUCUAUUUUCUUUU